CAGCAGCCGCGGGAAUACGUAGGGCGCAAGCGUUAUCCGGAAUUAUUGGGCGUAAAGAGCUCGUAGGCGGUUUGUCGCGUCUGCCGUGAAAGUCCGGGGCUCAACCCCGGAUCUGCGGUGGGUACGGGCAGACUAGAGUGAUGUAGGGGAGACUGGAAUUCCUGGUGUAGCGGUGAAAUGCGCAGAUAUCAGGAGGAACACCGAUGGCGAAGGCAGGUCUCUGGGCAUUAACUGACGCUGAGGAGCGAAAGCAUGGGGAGCGAACAGGAUUAGAUACCCGUGUAGUCCCUGUCUCUUAUAC
rnacentral:rRNA from 1 species